ensembl:lncRNA
UUUACUUUUCGUGAUCGGCCUCUGUCAAUCGAGGUUGAGUUUAGUGAGGGUUGAAAGUUUUCGAUCUAGAUUGCAGAUCACUAUUGUCACUUUAUACAAACUGAAAGUAUGCGUUGUUGCGUGUUUGUUUUUGUGGGCAUUUGACUGAACAGCCCAGACAAAUAUUGCUACCAACAUGGCACUUCGAAACAGACCACCGCAGUGUUAGAUGACUGACAAGAUCUAUGGGGGGGCCCCCUUUGGGCCCCCCCAUACCAACUUAGUCUUCAAAGGAAUCUAGUGCCAUGGGACUCCAGUGUCUUCAAAACAUCCUCGGAAUACAUGUGUAUGAAUGGUCCACCGAAGGGUUGAUCUGGAAGCCACCACGGUCCACGCAGUAAUCUGCUGCGUGGGCCGUAGUGGCUUCCAGAGCCAUCUUUCGGUCUUGGUCAGGAUUGUUGCAGUUGCCCUUCAAUGUCGAUAGGGUUUACAUGUGGUCGAUAGUGUUUAAAUGUGGGCGAUAGUGUUUAAAUGUGGGCGAUAGUGUUUAAAUGUGGGCGAUAGUGUUCACAUGUGGUCGAUAGGGUUUACAUGUGGUCCAUAGUGUUUAAAUAUGGUUGAUGGUGUUUGCAUAUGGACUGUGGUCGAUAGUGUUUAAAUGUGAUCGUUAGUGUUUAAUUAUGGUCGAUAGUGUUUAAAUCUUUUCCCUCUCUCCACCUCAUCCCUCACUCUCCACCUCAAGCAGGUGUGUGUGGUGAGCGUUCUGGCGCCGAUUGGCUGCCGUGCAUCACCCAAAUGGGUGCUACAUACUGGUGGUGGUUAGUGAGGUUCCCCCCCCUUCACUGUAGGCGUCUUUGAGUGUCUAGAAAAGCGCUAAAUAAAUUCAAUGUAUUAUUAAUGUAGCAGGCUACGGGUUUCUGAAGAAGCCUGCUUUACGUAGCAUUGGAGUACAAAUAUUGUGCAAAAUGCUCAUGUAAUUGUACUAGCACUGGUAACCUGUAGAUUAGCUUAGUUUAACGUCAUUCGGUGCUGUCUGUCAAAUGUGUGGCUUACUUUAAGACCACAAGGCCCUCUGGUAAACCACGUUGGAACACCCCUGGACAAGGUGAUUAGUCACUGGGUGUGUGCUAAAGUUUUGUUCCAUUUUUCACUAGUUGGUUAAGGUUUGGUUGAAUUGUUUGGAUGCUAGCGACGUGAUGGCGUAUGUACAAGAGCCUACCGUGGCCAGGCCACAGUUGCACGGCCACGGCCAGAUGGCCUAGUGUGAGUGCAACCUUGAUUGCAUUUGUAUACUGUUUACCAUUGGAUGUUUAUGCAAUUUGGCUUAAUUCAUCCGCCUUAAAGCUGCAUUUGACUAUUCCAGGGUCGUUUUGUACAGGCUUUCAAUUGACAAUGUUGACUAGUUUGUGGGAAGUUUUUUUUUUUUUUUAACCCUUGCUUACAAUCCAACGGUUGUGACCACUUAUGCAACUGGGCUGUGAACCUUGCAAUUCUAGUUGCAUAUUUGUACACGCAAGCUUGUCCAUUUCUAUCGCCAUCACUAACACUAGCUUCAGCAUUUCCUUGUAGACCAUUAGCUGACUUGUGUAUUGGAGCGAUGAUUUGGGUAUUUUAAGAUGCUUGAAAACCUCAAAUAAAACAAAAUGCGUGUCUGGUGUGCAAGAGCCAAUUUGUUGGCUUGCAGUAGUCGAGGAGUUGCCGUAGGUCGUAAGCCAUCUGGAGGUUGUGGCAAUGAAGCAUGAUUAAUAGUUUAGUAAAUUGAUCUAUUCAUAUAGAACUAUAAAAUCCAAGACUGCAGCCAGUAACUUGGAUCGCAAUGUGUGGAAAGUAUUAGUCUUCAUUUGUAACAGAAUAAUUAACAUGACUAACUGGGUUUCUUCCAUUUUCUAACUAGGGGGACUUGACUGGUGAGUCUACUGGAUUAAUCAGUAGCGGUACUUUGCCCAACAGAUUUGAUUGCAUAACUACAGGGUGACAAAGACAAUUAUUCCCUGCCUAUCAAAAGAGACUUCUAAAACAUAUCUGCUAGAACAGUUCCUAUACUUUUUGUAUAAUUUGGUCAUGCUGCAAAUUUACUUUUUGUAGUUGCUCCAUAUUUAGUUCUUUGACAGCCUCACCUGCUAGAAAAGUCUAUUCAAAUCGGCUAAAUAUAAUGAACUAAAUUAAUAGCCAUGAAAUGUUGUCACUCAUUCUAAUGGCAAAUACCCCCCUUCAGUUGGUGGUUCAACACUGUCUCUCUAGGCUUGAGGGGCAGCGCACAAGUAAAUUACACAAAUGUCCUGGAGCAAUUGGGAAAACACUUUUAUUUAGUCUACCUGACCAGGGACAUCUUUGAACUAUAGGUCACCUAACCCAAACUUUUCACUCUUGUUAGGUUGUCCUUUUCUCUUGUUCUAACCCGAAAGGGCUGAAAAUAUCAACAUUUCAGGUAUUCUGUUUGGAUAAUGUGCAAAACUUGUGGCUUCACUAAUAAAAAAAAAUAACGAAUGUAUUUUUCUUAAUGUGGUUAAACUAUUUAAAGAUUUGUAUGCAAAAUAUUUCUGCUCAAUUUGUGGUCAAAGAAACUCAAAUUUUUUAAUUUGCUAAAACAACUAUGGGUUAAAGGUAUUUGCUUUGGGCAUCUUUUGAUAUUUUUAGACUCUAGCUCCAUUGCCGUUAGAAAUGGUGUCUCCCAGUACUGCAAAGUGCUUCCACAAGUUUAAAAAAUGGGCAGAAAAGGAACUGCCAACUAAAUCUAUUUAACAUGGGUAGAAAGUUUCCAUGGAAGCUCUUGGCUGCUGGUUCCCAACACAGCUCCACUGUUACACCGGGAUUCCACCGGACGCGUUACGGCAGCGUUACGGCUGCGGCACGUCUUGGCCGCGACUUUGCCCUGCUUGCAUUUCCACCGGGCGAGUUACGGCAGCGUAACGCUGCCUUGCGAGCCAGCCGUAUUCACGCGAGAUCACGAGAUCCCGCGAUAAUCCUAAACCUAAUGUACUCACCUUCCACUCCCAAAACGACUGCAAUUAAAUGCCAGGCUUUGUCCUUUCUGACAUGGUUCUUAGAAAAAGGAUGAUUUGAGACCCUUGACCCUUGACUGCUGACCUGGUGCCACCGGUCAUGACGUGUUAUUUAUUGUGUUUUAUUUUGAAAAUUGAGCGGAAUGCUCUAUGGCUUUUACUUUUUCACUUCCUGCCCUGAUCGAUCUGCUCUGUUGAAAUUGACGCGGUUCAGCAGCGGCUCGCCGCAAAAAUAGGAAUGCUACGGAAUGAUAGCGCUGCGGCGCGGCACGACGCUCCUGGGACGCUGCUGAGACGUUCCGCAGCCGCGCCCGGUGGAAAUGGUCUCAUUGAUUAGAGUGGAACCUAUCUGCUGCGGUGACAGCGGCCAAGACGUGCCGCUGCCGUAACUUUGCCGUAACGCGUCCGGUGGAAUCAGGCCGUUAGCCUGUGACCUUGCGUUUAACUUUUUUGGACUUUUGGUGACUUUCACAAAAGAGAAAUGAACUGGUUAAUACAAUAAACAAGACAUUUGAAACUUCAGCUACAUUUUUAUCUAUUUGUGCUGCCUUUGAUUUCAACCCGUGACAUGUUUGUCAGGUGAUAACUAUGGAUCUGUGACCGCAUAUCAUGGUACCAUUUUGAACUGUUUGUGGAUAUUGCAUUAAAUCCAUAUGCUUGAAACUUUUCAAUAAUGCAUAUCAACGAAACAAUGGAAUGAAAUAAAUAGUUCAAGCAAUUUGUGGGACUUGGCUGCUUUUACAUUAUUACUCAUUUUGGGGGUUAUUUCAGUCUCUCCAACCUGCAGGUCGUGCGAAGAAUCAUGUGAAUGGGAAUAUUCUAUAAAUGUCUUGAUAUCAUCUUUCGUAUCAACACUUCUGCUGCAGCCGCUUAAAGUCUCACUCCGAGAACCU